AGUGAACGCUGGCGGUAGGCCUAACACAUGCAAGUCGAACGGCAGCACAGUAAGAGCUUGCUCUUACGGGUGGCGAGUGGCGGACGGGUGAGGAAUACAUCGGAAUCUACUUUUUCGUGGGGGAUAACGUAGGGAAACUUACGCUAAUACCGCAUACGACCUACGGGUGAAAGCAGGGGAUCCUCGGACCUUGCGCGACUGAAUGAGCCGAUGUCGGAUUAGCUAGUUGGCGGGGUAAAGGCCCACCAAGGCGACGAUCCGUAGCUGGUCUGAGAGGAUGAUCAGCCACACUGGAACUGAGACACGGUCCAGACUCCUACGGGAGGCAGCAGUGGGGAAUAUUGGACAAUGGGCGCAAGCCUGAUCCAGCCAUACCGCGUGGGUGAAGAAGGCCUUCGGGUUGUAAAGCCCUUUUGUUGGGAAAGAAAAGCAGCAGGUUAAUACCCCGCUGUUCUGACGGUACCCAAAGAAUAAGCACCGGCUAACUUCGUG
rnacentral:rRNA from 1 species